AGGUUGCAGGGAGGCAGAGCUUCAGUAGGAGGGAAGAUAUCCCCGGGGUGUGGGGGAGCAGCAUGUGUCACUAUCAGUCAUCAACCAAUGCCCUGCUCCAGAAUAUCCUUACUGAGUGAAUGACGAAAUGCUUGCCCGUUGUUGAUUUUUCUAGACGUGGGCCCCUUGGAUGUUCCCCUCUAAGGCAGAAAGAGCAUGAGUGUGGGAGCCAGCUGGUCUCAGUUUCUUUGUCUGCAAAAGCGAUGAGCAAACGGAGUCUUGGUUGGAUUAAGUAGCUUGCCCAAGUCCCAGGGCUAGUCCAUGGCAGAGUCAAGAUUUGGUUACAGCAGGGAUAUCCACUGGGCAAACCCAACCAGCCGAAGAGCCAAGGAGAUGGCAUUUGAAGGAGUCAGCCUGUAGCUGCUCAGAACACUGCAGAGAAGGGUUCCAAAUGACAGUGAGUGGGGUAUAGCCAAAUGGACAUUGACCAGCCCAUGCACAGACAGACACCAUUCACCCAUGCGGUGCCCCUGCAUGAGAAAAGGGGUGUCCCUGCUGGGGAGACCCAGCCCUGUUAGCACACAGCUUGGAAGGAGAUGCCCUUUGCUCCUGGGGUUGUGGCUUCCUGUCAGAAUGUAGGAGCUGGUGAGCAAAGAUUGGGCUGGAUUUCUGGAUUGGGCUGAAGCAGGAAGUCCAACCUGGCAACCAUUCCCCACGACCCCGGACAUACUAUGUGCAAAACUGAAAUAAAAUGUCAUGAAACAAUACUUACUCUUGCUGCUUGCAUUGAUCUAGUUUUUUCCCCCAUUCUAUUCUAUUCCUUUAUGAAAAAAUGUAGACUU
rnacentral:lncRNA from 1 species